rnacentral:lncRNA from 1 species
UGGGAACCCACUGAGAGCUCUUGCUGCCAGACCGAGGAAGGCAGGGGAAAUCUUUUUCCAAUGAAGAAACUAACAGGCUUUAAGAAAACAGGCACUGGGAGAUGGGACGAUAUUCACACUGCAUCAUCCAGAUGUUUGGCUUAUCUGUAAGCCUAACUCCUGUCUUGUCUGAAUUAAGUCUUAACCAAAUCACCGUUCUUUAUCCAUGCACCUCCUUCAGCCAAAGAGAUGAGCCAAGAAGCUUCUUUUAGGCAAAUGUUUGCAAUGAUCUUUUGCCUCUUCUACUUAAAAUUUUCCACAUGCUGCCAAUGUAUCCCUCACAG